UACGUAGGGUGCGAGCGUUAAUCGGAAUUACUGGGCGUAAAGCGUGCGCAGGCGGUUCGCAAAGUCUGAUGUGAAAACCCCGGGCUCAACCUGGGAACUGCAUUGGAAACUAACGGGCUCAAGUGUGGCAGAGGGGGGUGGAAUUCCACGUGUAGCAGUGAAAUGCGUAGAGAUGUGGAGGAACACCGAUGGCGAAGGCAGCCCCCUGGGCUAACACUGACGCUCAGGCACGAAAGCGUGGGGAGCAAACAGG
rnacentral:rRNA from 1 species